GAAUGACGAGAGCUUGCUCUCUGAUUUUAGCGGCGGACGGGUGAGUAACACGUGGGCAACCUGCCCUACAGAUGGGGAUAACUCCGGGAAACCGGGGCUAAUACCGAAUAAUCAGUUUGUCCGCAUGGACAAACUCUGAAAGACGGUUUCGGCUGUCACUGUAGGAUGGGCCCGCGGCGCAUUAGCUAGUUGGUGGGGUAAUGGCCUACCAAGGCAACGAUGCGUAGCCGACCUGAGAGGGUGAUCGGCCACACUGGGACUGAGACACGGCCCAG
rnacentral:rRNA from 1 species